UACAGAGGUCCCAAGCGUUGUUCGGAUUCAUUGGGCGUAAAGGGUGCGUAGGCGGCGCGGUAAGUCGGGUGUGAAAUCUUGGAGCUUAACUCCGAAACUGCAUUCGAUACUGCCGUGCUUGAGGACUGGAGAGGAGACUGGAAUUUACGGUGUAGCGGUGAAAUGCGUAGAUAUCGUAAGGAAGACCAGUGGCGAAGGCGGGUCUCUGGGCCGAUACUGACGCUGAGGAGCGAAGGCCAGGGAGCAAAGCGGG
rnacentral:rRNA from 1 species